rnacentral:rRNA from 1 species
CCCUUAGAUGUCCUGGGCUGCACGCGUGCUACCAUGGCAUUUACAACAAGGUCGCUAACUCGAAAGAGCAAGCAAAUCUUAGAAAUGAUGUCGUGAUCGGGACAGUUGAUUGCAAUUAUUCGACUCGAACGAGGAAUGCCUUGUAAUCGCGAUUCAUCAGAUCGCGAUGAAUACGUCCCUGCCCUUUGUACACACCGCCCGUCGCUCCUACCGAUUGAGCGAUCCGGUGAAUAAUUCGGACUGCAGCACUGCUUGGUCUCCAGGCUUUGCAGCGGAAAGUUUAGUGAACCUUAUCACUUAGAGGAAGGAGAAGUCGUAACA